rnacentral:rRNA from 1 species
GAUUAUGGCUCAGGAUGAACGCUAGCGGCAGGCUAACACAUGCAAGUCGAGGGGCAGCGCGAGUAGCAAUACUUGGCGGCGACCGGCGCAAGGGUGCGUAACGCGUGAGCAACAUGCCCGUAUCAGGGGGAUAAUCCAGGGAAACUUGGUCUAAUACCCCAUAGUAAUUUUGUAAGGCAUCUUAUAAGAUUUAAAGCUUUGGUGGAUACGGAUUGGCUCGCGUGACAUUAGCUGGAUGGUAAGGUAACGGCUUACCAUGGCUAUGAUGUCUAGGGGUUCUGAGAGGAAGGUCCCCCACACUGGAACUGAGACACGGUCCAGACUCCUACGGGAGGCAGCAGUGAGGAAUAUUGGACAAUGGAUGGAAAUCUGAUCCAGCCAUGCCGCGUGAAAAGGAAGAAGGUCCUAUGGAUUGUAAACUUCUUUUGUAUGGGAGCAAUAAGGCCUACGAGUAGGUUGAUGAGAGUACCAUACGAAUAAGCACCGGCUAACUCCGUGCCAGCCGCAGC